GAUGAACGCUAGCGGCAGGCUUAAUACAUGCAAGUCGAGGGACAGCACAGGUAGCAAUACUGGGUGGUAACCGGCAAACGGGUGCGGAACACGUACACAACCUUCCUUUAAGUGGGGGAUAGCCCAGAGAAAUUUGGAUUAAUACCCCGUAAUAUAGUUGAAUGGCAUCAUUUGAUUAUUAUAGCUACGGCGCUUAAUGAUGGGUGUGCGGCUGAUUAGAUAGUUGGCGGGGUAACGGCCCACCAAGUCUACGAUCAGUAGCUGAUGUGAGGGCAGGAUCAGCCAAACGGGCACUGAGACACGGGCCCGACUCCUACGGGAGGCAGCAGUAAGGAAUAUUGGUCAAUGGACGCAAGUCUGAACCAGCCAUGCCGCGUGAAGGAUUAAGGUCCUCUGGAUUGUAAACUUCUUUUAUUUGGGACGAAAAAGGGCCUUUCUAGGUCAACUGACGGUACCAGAUGAAUAAGCACCGGCUAACUCCGUGCCAGCCGCCGCCGUAAAAC
rnacentral:rRNA from 1 species